UCCCUGGUGGCUCAGACGGUAAAGCGUCUGCCUACAAUGCAGGAGAUGCGGGUUCAACCCCUGGGUUGGGAA
rfam:Ovis aries breed Texel chromosome 4, whole genome shotgun sequence.